AAAAGAUUAACCACAGAUGAAGCCCAAUCUGCUUCUCACAGGAGAGUCCCAGCUUCUGAACAAAUGGACGCUUCUUGGAGGGAGUGGAUUCAUGGUCAAAGUAUCUUAUCCAAGCUGGUGACACCAAUGCAGAGAUGGAGUAAGAAGUUCCAACCUUCCAUCCCUGGCAUGGAAACAUCAAAAACCAAGCUGACAUG